AUUGAACGCUGGCGGCACGCCUAACACAUGCAAGUCGAACGAGUGGCGGACGGGUGAGUAAUGUCUGGGAAACUGCCUGAUGGAGGGGGAUAACUACUGGAAACGGUAGCUAAUACCGCAUACCCUCGGAUGUGCCCAGCUGGGAUUAGCUAGUAGUGGGGGUAACGGCUCACCUAGGCGACGAUCCCUAGCUGGUCUGAGAGGAUGACCAGCAACACUGGAACUGCGACACGGUCCAGACGCCUACGGGAGGCAGCAGUGGGGAAUAUUGCAAAAUGUGCGCAAGCCUGAUGCAGCCAUGCCGCGUGUAUGAAGAAGGCCUUCGGGUGGUAAAGUACUUUCAGCGGGGAGGCGUUACUCGCAGAAGAAGCACCGGCUAACUCCGUGCCAGCAGCCGCGGUAAUUC
rnacentral:rRNA from 1 species